CAGGCUUUGGGACCUUAGUUGCUAUUCUGGGUUGUUUCCCUCUCGACUAUGAAGCUUAUCCCCCACAGUCUCACUGCCACGCUCUCACUUACCGGCAUUCGGAGUUUGGCUGAUGUUGGUAAGCUUGUAGGCCCCCUCGACCAUCCAGUAGCUCUACCUCCGGUAAGAAACACGUGACGCUGCACCUAAAUGCAUUUCGGAGAGAACCAGCUAUCACGAAGUUUGAUUGGCCUUUCACCCCUACACACAGCUCAUCCCCUAAUUUUUCAACAUUAGUGGGUUCGGUCCUCCACGCGGUCUUACCCGCGCUUCAACCUGGCCAUGCGUAGAUCACCUCGCUUCGGGUCUAGAUCAUGCAACUCAUUCGCCCUAUUCAGACUCGCUUUCGCUACGGCUUCCCCUCGACGGGUUAACCUCGCUACAUGACACUAACUCGUAGACUCAUUCUUCAAAAGGCACGCUGUCACUACUCAAGGUAGCUCCAACGGCUUGUACGCACACGGUUUCAGAUUCUAUUUCACUCCCCUUUCGGGGUUCUUUUCACCUUUCCCUCACGGUACUAGUCCGCUAUCGGUCAUCAGAGAGUAUUUAGGCUUAGCGGGUGGUCCCGCCAGAUUCAUACCGGAUUCCUCGAGUCCGGUAUUACUUGGGAUACCAAUAAUGAGUUAAAAGUGUUUCGGCUACGGGGAUCUCACCCUCUGUGUCUGGCUUUCCCACGCCAUUCACCUACACAAUUAAUUUCUGACUCAUUGAAGCAACGGCAGUCGCUUCUAACUGGUCCCACAACCCCAACACUGCAACGCCUGCCGGCUUGGCACAGUAUUGGUUUGGCCUCUUCCGCGUUCGCUCGCCACUACUAACGGAAUCACGGUUGUUUUCUCUUCCUGUGGGUACUGAGAUGUUUCACUUCCCCACGUUCCCUUUAUCUACCCUAUAUAUUCAGAUAGAAAUAACUGGACAUUACUCCAGCUGGGUUUCCCCAUUCGGAAAUCCUCGGAUCAAAGCUCGUUUGACAGCUCCCCGAGGCUUAUCGCAGCCUACUACGUCCUUCAUCGGCUUCUGAUGCCAAGGCAUCCGCCAUGUGCGCUUAAUAAUUUGACCACAAAGAUGCUCGCGUCCACUGUGUAGUUCUCAAAAUACGGGCGGUACUCAAUAAAGCCUUGAAGACCUUGGACCGAAAUCCUGGUUUCUUCGCCUUAUUAAGCCCAGAGGUUUGGCAUUUUCAGCCGUCCCCUCAGGACCCAACAACGUGCCUAGUUAAUUUUCACUCAGAGCUAAGUUUCCACUCCCACGAAUGGGUUGUACUAAUAGAUGAUUUUUUAAACAAACCUAAGUCAAUGCUCCACUUAUGAGCUCACAUGUUUAUUGCUGAAACCUAUGUCCAGCACAUGUGAAUGCUCCUUAGAAAGGAGGUGAUCCAGCCGCACCUUCCGGUACGGCUACCUUGUUACGACUUCGUCCCAAUCACCGAUCCCACCUUCGGCAGCUCCCUCCUUGCGGUUGGG
rnacentral:rRNA from 1 species